CGGUUGUAUAAAUCAAUUUUGAUCUUGGGUUCAACGGAACGCCGAUCAAAAUGUGAACUGCGUUCAUUCGAUAUUCUGUUGUUCAAUGUAAACUGAACUUUAGUUCAGCUGAACUGAGGUUAGUUUAAGUUGGCACUACAAAUAUUUAGUUACUUUUGGUUUUUUUUUAUUUUUGACAUUUAACAUAACCUAAAAGGAGAGGUUUGUUUUGUUUUUGUUUGAUUUGGCGGGCUGGGUUGCUUGCAAGUAAAAAAAAGUAAAAGCAGUAAAAGUUUAUAAAAAGUGUAUUUUCUACUUGGUGUGGCUGGUACUACUAAUUAAACUUGAUUUUAUAUACCUAUAGAUUCUUGUUUGGUGGUGGAAUAUUUUAUAAAUGGGUUCUUGUAAGAAAAGAACUGUUAAUGAGCCUUGUACUAAAAUAUAAGGGCACAAUUGAAUGUCGAAAGACUGACAAAAUGAACAACAAUUUAAAGCAGAAAGCUUGGGAGCGUCUAUCAAAUGAAUUUAAUAGCAUUUGUGGAGAGCCUUUCAGAGAUGCAAAAGUUCUUCGUGGCAAGUAUGAAAAUAAAAAAAAAAGGUCAAAACAAAAAUUUGCUGAUGAAAAAAUAUACCUACGAGGAACUGGAGGAGGGCCUGUAAAACCUAAGAUAACUGACAAUUUCGACAAACAAGUUAAAGAAAUUAUAGGUACUCAGGCUUUGAUUCAGAAUUUGAUGGGCAUAGUAAAUAUGGCAACAUGCAGAUGGAAACUCGUGAGGGAUCUCGUUUUAAUAUUUCUGAUUCAGAGUUACCUAAUGAAGACAUAGAGCAUAAUAAGGAAAAUAAAAAUAUUCUGUCAAAUAAAAUUAUUUCCUGGGCUGCAAAUAAAGCUGAAUUAGUCUCCAAGGAGACAGAAUACCUUGAAAAAGAACAUCUUUUGAGGGUAGAAAUCAUGAAGGAACGCCACAAAUAUCAAAUGGCACUAGAAACAAAGGAGAGUGAUAAAAGAAUUCUUAUUCAAGCUAAAAAAGCUGAACUAGAGCUGAAGAUCCUUCAACUGAAAAAAGAUCAGCUGCUAUCUGCUAAUAAAUGAUGUCUGUUUUUAUAAUUUAAAAAUAUGUAUUUGUAAAAUAAGUUGUAUUUUAUUUAUGAAAUAAAAAAAUGUUUUUAAAAUUUAA